rnacentral:rRNA from 1 species
GCCUUUCGGGGUACACGAGCGGCGAACGGGUGAGUAACACGUGGGUGAUCUGCCCUGCACUCUGGGAUAAGCUUGGGAAACUGGGUCUAAUACCGGAUAUGACCACAGCAUGCAUGUGUUGUGGUGGAAAGAUUUAUCGGUGCAGGAUGSGYSMRMGGCYUAUCWGCUUGWWGRUGSAGGYAAYGKMSGUAGCYACAGGCGAMGACGGGUAGCCGACCUGAGAGGGUGAMCGGCCACACUKGGACUKAGACACGGCCCAGACUCCUACGGGAGGCAGCAGUGGGGAAUAUUGCACAAUKGGCGGAAGCCUGAUGCAGCGAMGCCGCGUGAGGGAUGAWGGCCUUCGGGUUGUAAACCUCKUUCAGCAGGGACGAAGCGUGAGUGACGGUACCUGCAGAAGAAGCACMGGCUAACUACGUGCCAGCAGCCGCGGUAAUACGUAGGGUGCGAGCGUUGUCCGGAAUUACUGGGCGUAAAGAGUUCGUAGGCGGUUUGUCGCGUCGUUUGUGAAAACCCGGGGCUCAACUUCGGGCUUGCWGGCGAUACGGGCAGACUUGAGUGUUUCCAGGGGGAGACUGGAAUUCYUGGUGUAGCGGUGAAAUGCGCAGAUAUCAGGAGGAACACCGGUGGGCGAAGGCGGGUCUCUGGGAAACAACUGACGCUGAGGAACGAAAGCGUGGGUAGCAAACAGGAUUAGAUACCCUGGUAGUCCACGCCGUAAACGGUGGGCGCUAGGUGUGGGUUCCUUCCACGGGAUCUGUGCCGUAGCUAACGCAUUAAGCGCCCCGCCUGGGGAGUACGGCCGCAAGGCUAAAACUCAAAGGAAUUGACGGGGGCCCGCACAAGCGGCGGAGCAUGUGGAUUAAUUCGAUGCAACGCGAAGAACCUUACCUGGGUUUGACAUACACCGGAAAACCGUAAAGAUACGGUCCCCCUUGUGGUCGGUGUACAGGUGGUGCAUGGCGGUCGUCAGCUCGUGUCGUGAGAUGUUGGGUUAAGUCCCGCAACGAGCGCAACCCUUGUCUUAUGUUGCCAGCACGUAAUGGUGGGGACUCGUAAGAGACUGCCGGGGUCAACUCGGAGGAAGGUGGGGAGGACGUCAAGUCAUCAUGCCCCUUAUGUCCAGGGCUUCACACUUGCUACAAUGGCCAGUACAGAGGGCUGGGAGACCGUGAGGUGGAGCGAAUCCCUUAAAGCUGGUCUCAGUUCGGAUCGGGGUUUGCAACUCGACCCCGUGAAGUGGGAGUCGCUAGUAAUCGCAGAUCAGCAACGCUGCGGUGAAUACGUUCCCGGCCCUUGUACACACCGCCCGUCACGUCAUGAAAGUCGGUAACACCCGAAGCCGGUGGCCUAACCCCUUGUGGGAGGGAGCCGUCGAAGGUGGGAUCCGGUG